rnacentral:rRNA from 1 species
GCAGGUACAGAGGGGUGCUACCGGGUGACCGGAUGCCGAUCUCGAAAACCUGUCCCAGUUCGGACUGGAGUCUGCAACCCGACUCCACGAAGUUGGAUUCGCUAGUAAUCGCGCAUCAGCCAUGGCGCGGUGAAUACGUUCCCGGGCCUUGUACACACCGCCCGUCAAGCCAUGGGAGCCGGGGGCGCCUGAAGUCCGGGACCGCGAGGACCGGCCUAAGGCGAAACUGGUGACUGGGGCUAAGUCGUAACAAGGUACC